UUAAUGGAGAGUUUGAUCCUGGCUCAGGACGAACGCUGGCGGCGUGCCUAAUACAUGCAAGUCGAGCGAGGGUCUUCGGACCCUAGCGGCGGACGGGUGAGUAACACGUAGGCAACCUGCCUGUAAGACUGGGAUAACAUAGGGAAACUUAUGCUAAUACCGGAUAGAGUUUUGCUUCGCCUGAAGCGAAACGGAAAGAUGGCGCAAGCUAUCACUUACAGAUGGGCCUGCGGCGCAUUAGCUAGUUGGUGAGGUAACGGCUCACCAAGGCGACGAUGCGUAGCCGACCUGAGAGGGUGACCGGCCACACUGGGACUGAGACACGGCCCAGACUCCUACGGGAGGCAGCAGUAGGGAAUUUUCCACAAUGGACGAAAGUCUGAUG
rnacentral:rRNA from 1 species